GACGAACGCUGGCGGCGUGCCUAAUACAUGCAAGUAGAACGCUGAAGAGAGGAGCUUGCUCUUCUUGGAUGAGUUGCGAACGGGUGAGUAACGCGUAGGUAACCUGCCUUGUAGCGGGGGAUAACUAUUGGAAACGAUAGCUAAUACCGCAUAACAAUGGAUGACCCAUGUCAUUUAUUUGAAAGGGGCAAAUGCUCCACUACAAGAUGGACCUGCGUUGUAUUAGCUAGUAGGUGAGGUAACGGCUCACCUAGGCGACGAUACAUAGCCGACCUGAGAGGGUGAUCGGCCACACUGGGACUGAGACACGGCCCAGACUCCUACGGGAGGCAGCAGUAGGGAAUCUUCGGCAAUGGGGGCAACCCUGACCGAGCAACGCCGCGUGAGUGAAGAAGGUUUUCGGAUCGUAAAGCUCUGUUGUAAGUCAAGAACGAGUGCGAGAGUGGAAAGUUCACACUGUGACGGUAGCUUACCAGAAAGAGACGGCUAACUACGUG
rnacentral:rRNA from 1 species